UCCCUGGUGGCUCAGAUGGUAAAGAAUCUGCCUGCAAUGCAGGAGACCUGGGUUCGAUCCCUGGGUCGGGAA
rfam:TPA: Bos taurus chromosome 16, whole genome shotgun sequence.